UACGAAGGGGGCUAGCGUUGCUCGGAAUCACUGGGCGUAAAGGGUGCGUAGGCGGGUCUUUAAGUCAGGGGUGAAAUCCUGGAGCUCAACUCCAGAACUGCCUUUGAUACUGAGGGUCUUGAGUAUGACAGAGGUGAGUGGAACUGCGAGUGUAGAGGUGAAAUUCGUAGAUAUUCGCAAGAACACCAGUGGCGAAGGCGGCUCACUGGGUCAUUACUGACGCUGAGGCACGAAAGCGUGGGGAGCAAACAGG
rnacentral:rRNA from 1 species